GUAUUGAUGGUUCAGUGGUAGAAUUCUCACCUUCCGAGUGGAAGCCCCAGGUUCCAUUCCCAGCCAGUGCA
rnacentral:tRNA from 1 species